UACUGACUCAGGUGCACCUUUAGAUGGAGCCAAAGCACGUCUGGAGAUGCUGAGGGAGAAUUUGUAUAAACGAGAGCGGGAGAUCUCAAUGCUGAUCGAUGGAGGAGUGCAGAAUGGUGCGGCUCCAUCAGCAUACGCUCGCCUGCUUGCUGCUGUAGUACGCCAGGCUCAUCUCGUCUAUGAAGAGGUGACUGAGGCGAAGCAGCAGUUUGACCAGAUGGCAGAGGACAACCGCAAAGCUGUUGCUGAGGCUCGAGACAGACUGACCUCCUUCCAGGACAAGCAAACAGAUAGGGAAAGCGUAGAACUGAGACCUCUGGGGUAAAAACAUACAUAAAUCCAAAGAAUGAAUGACAAAUCUCACAGAACAAGAUAUAGCCUUGCUUUAUGAAAUAAGCUUGAGUAGAAUAUGUCAUGUGCCAUAAUAGGAAGGACGAAUCAGAAAUCAGUCUGGGUGAUCAGGUGACUCAAGCUGAGGUUAAAUUGCAGAAGCAUGACGUCUUACAGGUAGCCCUGGAGUGCAUCAAAGCAGGGGUUACGCCCACCAUUGCUGGUAAACAAACCAACAACAACAACAACAACAACAUCAAAUUAACCAAUCCGUGAAAGUGUCUUUGCAAAUCACUCAUGUUGCCAGUCAUUUCUUAAAUAUCUGAUAUUACAUUACCAGGCCCUGUCAGUGAGGAUGAUUUGGCAGCGUUGGAUGAGAGCGUGAAAAGCUUUGAGAAAAGGUUGAAAAACAGUGACGCCCUAAACUCAGAACAUGGGAAGAGCUUGGGCCAGCAGCUGCUACUCCUGCAAGCUGAGCUGAAACAAGUCAAAGAAGAGAACAAGAAAGUGACUGAGCACUACACAGCAGAGCGGACCCUAAGAAAGAAGUACUACAACAUGGUGGAGGACAUGAAAGGUAUAGUUUUUGAUAUACAUAUCAC